CGGGCCGUGGCGCAGUCUGGUAGCGCGUUUGACUGGGGGUCAAAAGGUCGCAGGUUCGAAUCCUGUCGGCCCGA
rnacentral:tRNA from 3 species